GUGCUCAUUUCAGUAACACAUGCACUAAAAUUGAAACAAUACAGAGAAGAUUCACUUGGCCACUGUGCAAGGAUGACACAUAAUUUCAUCAGUUGUUCCAUUAAAAA
ensembl:snRNA U6 U6 spliceosomal RNA